AUUGAACGCUGGCGGCAUGCCUAACACAUGCAAGUCGAACGAGUGGCGGACGGGUGAGUAAUGUCUGGGAACCUGCCUGAUGGUGGGGGAUAACUACUGGAAACGGUAGCUAAUACCGCAUACCUCCGCCCAUAACUGAUUAGCUAGUUGGGGGGGUAAAGGCCUACAAAGGCGACGAACAGUAGCGGGUCUGAGAGGACGAUCCGCCACACUGGGACUGAGACACGGCCCAGACUCCUACGGGAGGCAGCAGUGGGGAAUCUUGGACAAUGGGGGCAACCCUGAUCCAGCCAUGCCGCGUGUAUGAAGAAGGCCUUCGGGUUGUAAAGUACUUUUAUUAGGGAGGCGGUACCUACAGAAGAAGCACCGGCUAACUACGUGCCAGCAGCCGCGGUAAUAC
rnacentral:rRNA from 1 species